AAAGCAUCUAAGCGGGAAGCCUACUCCAAGAUGAGAUUUCCCAUGAGACCGGUGGUAGACUACCACCUUGAUAGGUCACAGGUGUAAGGUGGGUAACCACUUCAGCCGAGUGAUACUAAUCGGUCAAUUGACUUUCAC
rnacentral:rRNA from 1 species